GUCACCAUCGACCUGCAGAGAUCACAAAGGAGCUUUACAUGGCCCUGCAGGCUGUUUUGGUUCCUUUGUGAUCUGCGGCCUCAGGAGACCUUUGUGCAGCUGGACAUUUCCCCAGGCUACUGCUGGCCCUUCCAAGCAUCGGGGAGCCAAGUGGUCGUUACGUUGCCCGCACAAGUCCAACCAACCGCGAUCACUGUGCAGCACCCCUUGAAGAAGUCCUCUGCACUCGGGGACACCAGCAGUGCCCCUCGAGAUUUCACCGUCUCUGGACUGGAUGAGGAAGGAAAAGAGGAGACUCUGCUGGGGACAUUCAGCUAUGAUAUCAAGAAAGCGCCGGCCCAGACCUUCCCUCUGCAGCGUGAGCUUCCCAGAGCCUUUCAGCGCAUCAGGCUUCUCAUCCAGAGCAACUGGGGGAAGUCACGCUACACCUGCAUUUAUCGAGUGCAGGUUCAUGGGAAGGUAAAGGAAAUGAAC